rnacentral:tRNA from 1 species
GAGGGUAUAGCUCAGUGGUAGAGUGAACGCUUAGCAUGCAUGCACAAGGUGCUGGGUUCAAUCCCCAGUACCUCCA